UGAAGAAGACGGCAUACUGUA
rnacentral:sRNA from 1 species